CCAGCAGUGAUGAAGCAUUAAUGUGUAAGGAGAACCUUUAUUUGGUUUCUUCGAGGAAAUAUAAGUACGCUUGGCUUCUGAGCUAA